rnacentral:rRNA from 1 species
AUUAACGCUGGCGGCAGGCUUAACACAUGCAAGUCGAACGCCCCGCAAGGGGAGUGGCAGACGGGUGAGUAACGCGUGGGAAUAUACCCUUCGGUUCGGAAUAACUCAGGGAAACUUGAGCUAAUACCGGAUACGGCCGAGAGGCGAAAGAUUUAUCGCCGAAGGAUUAGCCCGCGUUGGAUUAGCUAGUUGGUGGGGUAAAGGCCUACCAAGGCGACGAUCCAUAGCUGGUCUGAGAGGAUGAUCAGCCACACUGGGACUGAGACACGGCCCAGACUCCUACGGGAGGCAGCAGUGGGGAAUCUUGGACAAUGGGCGAAAGCCUGAUCCAGCCAUGCCGCGUGAGUGAAGAAGGCCUUAGGGUUGUAAAGCUCUUUCGGCGGGGAAGAUAAUGACGGUACCCGCAGAAGAAGCCCCGGCUAACUCCGU